AGAGUUUGAUCCUGGCUCAGAUUGAACGCUAGCGGGAUGCUUUACACAUGCAGGUCGAACGGCAGCACGAGAGAGCUUGCUCUCUUGGUGGCGAGUGGCGGACGGGUGAGUAAUAUAUCGGAACGUGCCCAGUAGCGGGGGAUAACUACUCGAAAGAGUGGCUAAUACCGCAUACGCCCUACGGGGGAAAGGGGGGGAUCGCAAGACCUCUCACUAUUGGAGCGGCCGAUAUCGGAUUAGCUAGUUGGUGGGGUAAAGGCUCACCAAGGCAACGAUCCGUAGCUGGUUUGAGAGGACGACCAGCCACACUGGGACUGAGACACGGCCCAGACUCCUACGGGAGGCAGCAGUGGGGAAUUUUGGACAAUGGGGGAAACCCUGAUCCAGCCAUCCCGCGUGUAUGAUGAAGGCCUUCGGGUUGUAAAGUACUUUUGGCAGAGAAGAAAAGGCAUCCCCUAAUACGGGAUGCUGCUGACGGUAUCUGCAGAAUAAGCACCGGCUAACUACGUGCCAGCAGCCGCGGUAAUACGUAGGGUGCAAGCGUUAAUCGGAAUUACUGGGCGUAAAGCGUGUGUAGGCGGUUCGGAAAGAAAGAUGUGAAAUCCCAGGGCUCAACCUUGGAACUGCAUUUUUAACUGCCGAGCUAGAGUAUGUCAGAGGGGGGUAGAAUUCCACGUGUAGCAGUGAAAUGCGUAGAUAUGUGGAGGAAUACCGAUGGCGAAGGCAGCCCCCUGGGAUAAUACUGACGCUCAGACACGAAAGCGUGGGGAGCAGACAGGAUUAGAUACCCUGGUAGUCCACGCCCUAAACGAUGUCAACUAGCUGUUGGGGCCGUUAGGCCUUAGUAGCGCAGCUAACGCGUGAAGUUGACCGCCUGGGGAGUACGGUCGCAAGAUUAAGACUCAAAGGAAUUGACGGGGACCCGCACAAGCGGUGGAUGAUGUGGAUUAAUUCGAUGCAACGCGAAAAACCUUACCUACCCUUGACAUGUCUGGAAUGCCGAAGAGAUUUGGCAGUGCUCGCAAGAGAACCGGAACACAGGUGCUGCAUGGCUGUCGUCAGCUCGUGUCGUGAGAUGUUGGGUUAAGUCCCGCGACGAGCGCAACCCUUGUCAUUAGUUGCUACGCAAGAGCACUCUAAUGAGACUGCCGGUGACAAACCGGAGGAAGGUGGGGAUGACGUCAAGUCCUCAUGGCCCUUAUGGGUAGGGCUUCACACGUCAUACAAUGGUCGGGACAGAGGGUCGCCAACCCGCGAGGGGGAGCCAAUCUCAGAAACCCGAUCGUAGUCCGGAUCGCAGUCUGCAACUCGACUGCGUGAAGUCGGAAUCGCUAGUAAUCGCGGAUCAGAAUGUCGCGGUGAAUACGUUCCCGGGUCUUGUACUCACCGCCCGUCA
rnacentral:rRNA from 1 species